rnacentral:rRNA from 1 species
AAUAGAUACCCUGGUAGUCCACGCUGUAAACGUUGGGCGCUAGGUGUGGGGGGCCUCUCCGGUUCUCUGUGCCGCAGCUAACGCAUUAAGCCGCCCCGCCGUGGGGAGUACGGCCGCAAGGCUAAAACUCAAAGGAAUUGGACGGGGGCCCGCACAAGCGGCGAAGCAUGCGGAUUAAUUCGAUGCAACGCGAAGAACCUUACCUGGGUUUGACAUGGCCGCAAAACCGGCAGAGAUGUCGGGUCCUUCGGGGGCGGUCACAGGUGGUGCAUGGCUGUCGUCAGCUCGUGUCGUGAGAUGUUGGGUUAAGUCCCGCAACGAGCGCAACCCUCGUUCGAUGUUGCCAGCGGUUCGGCCGGGGACUCAUCGAAGACUGCCGGGGUCAACUCGGAGGAAGGUGGGGAUGACGUCAAGUCAUCAUGCCCCUUAUGUCCAGGGCUUCACGCAUGCUACAAUGGCCGGUACAAUGGGCUGCGAUACCGUGAGGUGGAGCGAAUCCCAAAAAGCCGGUCUCAGUUCGGAUCGGGGUCUGCAACUCGACCCCGGU